rnacentral:rRNA from 1 species
UUAAAAAGGAAAUUGUUAAUUCAAUUUAAUUUGAAAAUUAUAAAUUAUUGUUAAUAAUAUUUAUUUUUAUUUUAUUAUAUAGAUUUUAAGGUUUAUUUAUUUAUUAAGAAAAAAUUAAUUUAAUAAUAGUUAAAAGUAUUGUAAAAGAAUUUUAUAAUUUAUUUAAAAGAAACUUUUAUUUUUUGUACCUUGUGUAUCAGGGUUUAUUAAAUUAUUUUAUAAAUUUAAUUUUUUCGAAUUUAAAAGAGUUAAAAAGUUAGUUUAUUUUAUUGUAUCAUAAAUAAGUAAAAUAAUUUUUUUGUAAUGAAAUGUUAUUCGUUUUUAAAUAUAUCUAAUUUUUUAAGAAAUAGAUUUAAUUUAUUUAAUAUUAAUAUCUUAUUUUAUUUAUAUAGAAAUAUUAGUAUUAAAAAAUAUUUUUAGGGAUAAGCUUAAAAAUUUAUUUUUAUUAUCAAAUAAAUUAACAAAAUAUUUUAGGAUUAAAAUUUUUUAUAAUAUAAAUAUGUUAUUAUUUAUUUUUAUUGUAUUAAAAUUUAUUUUUGAUAUAAAUUUUUUAUUAAAAUAUAAUUUUUAAUUUUAAUUAGUUAGAAAUAAUGAUAAAAUUAGUAUAAUUUAAUUUAUAUUUUAUAUAAAUUUAAGGUUAAUUUAAGGAACUCGGCAAAUUUAUUUUUCAACUGUUUAUUAAAAACAUUGCCUUUUGUUAUAUAUUUAAGGUAUGACCUGCCCAAUGUGUAAUCAAUGGCUGCAGUAUUUUGACUGUACUAAGGUAGCAUAAUCAUUAGUUUUUUAAUUAAAAGCUGGAAUGAAUGGUAUAAUGGAAGAAUUUCUGUCUCAAAUUAAUUUUAUUAAAAUUUUAUAUUUAAGUUAAAACGCUUAAAUAUCUUUAAAAGACGAGAAGACCCUAUAGAAUUUUAUAUUAUUAUUAUUAUUAUUUUUUAGUAUUUAUAAUAUUAGUUUAAAAUAAUAUUUAAUUGGGGUGAUUAAAAAAUUUAAUUAACUUUUUUUUUAUUUUAAUAUUAAUUAAUAAGUUUAUGAUCCAUAUUUUAUGAUUAAAAGAAUAAAUUACCUUAGGGAUAACAGCGUAAUUUUAUUGGAGAGUUCUUAUCGAUAAUAAAGAUUGCGACCUCGAUGUUGGAUUAAAAUUUAUUUUUAAUGCAGAAGUUAAAAAAUUAAGUCUGUUCGACUUUUAAAAUUUUACAUGAUCUGAGUUUAGACCGGUGUGAGCCAGGUCGGUUUCUAUCUUUAAAUUAAUUUAAUAAUUUAGUACGAAAGGACCAGUUAUU